CUGAGAGGUCACGUUCACAAUGUGCUUGUUUGUGGUCUGGAGCCUGUGCACGAGCUUCAUCAUGCACACCUGUCUCAGCCGAUGCCCUAGAGGGGUUUGCCUUCUUCCUGCCUUAGCCUCUUGGAGAGAUGCUCACUGAUGACCAAGAAGGGGUUGGCUUUGUACCUGGGAUCUGCGAUGACCUCAUGAAACUGGGCCACUUCCUCUUCUAAGAGCCUGUGUUUCUGAGCUUGUUUCAUCAUACAGAAAUCUGCUGGUUCUGCCUUUGUUUUUUCAUGCCUCUUGGAUGGCUUCCUGCCUUUGAUACCUGCAGUCAGAUCAGAGAGCUCAGGCAGGGCUUCCAUCAGUGGCUGCAUGUCUCCCACAACAGGUGUUGCCUUUCGCUUUGCUUCAGCUUUUUGCUUCUGCUUGGCUAGCUUCACACUUUCUAUUUUCUGUAGCCAUCUUUCUUUCCUCAGCUUCAUUUUUUCUUUUUUUGAUAGAAGUGUUUUUUCUUCCAAACCUGUCCUGGAUGAAACGAUGCUUCUGGAGUCCAAAUCAAGUUUCUUCACCAGAGAAUCAGGGUCAAUAGUGAGCCCAGAAAAGAUGUCAGAUGAUGAGAAGUUCCAAUCCUUCGCCGCGGGCGCGCUGCGGCCGCCGGGACCGGGCGGCGCCGGGUUGGGGCGCGGCGGGGGUCGGGGCGCGGCGCAGUGCAGCCGCGGGCGCCGUACUUUCCCCACCAUGGCCAGGCAGGACGCGUGCCGGAAGAGGACGCGGCCACGCGGUGCGCGCACACUGCGCUCCCCCGAGAACGCCGUUUGCUGAGCGGUGCUCCCCUCCCCCUUCCUUUCCUCACGUCUUCCUUCCGGGGCGGGCGAUGGGGCCAAGGCGGGGUAGAGCCUCUAGGUCGGGGUGGGCUGGCGCUGCUCGUUGUGGCUCUUAAAGAAGCGGUUGAACGAGCUGCAGGGUUGUCGGGGGCAGGGGGGCCUUCUGCGCUCUGCUUCUGGAAGCCGUCGAGGAGAGCUUGGUUGCGCUGUGGUUAAACCUGGAGCUCUGGGUUGAAGCAGAGGGCUGGGUUGCAGCCCAGGACUGCGUCUUAGAAUCAAAAUGAAGAAAUCGAUUCAAGGAAACUUAGCAGCAAAAGUUUUAUUACCAUUAAGCAGAUAUUCUUACUGGCAGCGCUGGGAUAGCAUUGGGAUAACUCCAAAAAUGCUCCACCAGUUGAUCGUUUGUGCACAGAUUAUAUUUUCACGUGUAUUACACAGUCAUUGCAUUCCCCAAAUCUUUAUCCUAUCCACUCCCAAUGACUGCCCAACAGGUAUGCUCUUAUUUGGUGGUCUUCGAUGUCAUCUUUAACCUGCUGCUUCACUUCCUGCAUUUGGCUCAUCUCCACGCCAUGAAGGACUCCUUUAGUCCCAAAGAUCGCUGCGGAAUGCAAGGACAAGCAGAGAAGUCUCUGCACACACAGAUUUGGAAAAGAAAGGGGAAUAUCUUGAUGCUGUCUGUCACAUUCUAGGCCAAUUCCUCCUGUUGUGUGGAUCCUAGCUUAAGGACUCCACAAAACUGGUGUAUGGUGCUUCUGUUGUGUGUUUCUGUUGUGUGUUUUGUUUCCCUUGUUAAAGCAGAACAGUCAUACAGCAUGCCUCCCCAUCUACAGUGCUACAUAACAACCGGCAUCCACAGCUAUGGUGGACACAAGCAAGCUUUAAUCAUAUUGUACAGCAAUUCAGCGACUAUGCUUAUAAGGAUAAAUUAUCAGAAUGUUUUGUGUAAUUACUUCUUCAAGUCAGAAUCACUGAAUUGUUAAGGCUGAAAAAGUCCUUUCUAUGAUCAUGAAGUCCAACCCCAACCCACCCCACCAUGUCCACUGCCCACACCCCUCAGUGCCACAUCUCCAUGGUUCUGGAGCACUGUGCCACUGCAGCACUCCUCUUAAUGAGAAGAAAUGUUUCCUAACACCAACCUGUGUCAGCAUGUGUAGCUGGAGCAGGAGGGGCCUGGCCCUGUGACUGGCUGGAGUCGGACCUGUGGCCCAAUGAGGACUGGAACUUCUCCUGCACUGUCGGCAUAGCCUAGCCGUGCUCUGUGUGCUGACAGCCACGGUCUGCUGAGUGAAGAGGCUGCUCCUGCCCCACGUGCUCACUCUGUGAAUGGUUU
rnacentral:lncRNA from 1 species